AUUGAGCGCUGGCGGCAGGCCUAACACAUGCAAGUCGAGCGGGGUUUUCGGACCUAGCGGCGGACGGGUGAGUAAUGCGUAGGAAGCUACCCGAUAGAGGGGGAUACCAGUUGGAAACGACUGUUAAUACCGCAUAAUGUCUACGGACCAAAGUGUGGGACCUUCGGGCCACAUGCUAUCGGAUGCGCCUACGUGGGAUUAGCUAGUUGGUGAGGUAAUGGCUCACCAAGGCGACGAUCCCUAGCUGGUUUGAGAGGAUGAUCAGCCACACUGGAACUGAGACACGGUCCAGACUCCUACGGGAGGCAGCAGUGGGGAAUAUUGGACAAUGGGCGCAAGCCUGAUCCAGCCAUGCCGCGUGUGUGAAGAAGGCCUUCGGGUUGUAAAGCACUUUCAGUAGGGAGGAAGCGUUGUGUGUUAAUAGUACACAGCGUUGACGUUACCUACAGAAGAAGCACCGACUAACUCUGUGCCAGCCGCCGCAGUAAAAC
rnacentral:rRNA from 1 species